UACGUAGGUGGCAAGCGUUGUCCGGAUUUACUGGGCGUAAAGAGCGCGCAGGCGGUCGUUCAAGUCGCGUGUGAAAGCCCCCGGCUCAACUGGGGAGGGUCACGCGAUACUGAUCGACUCGAAGGCAGGAGAGGGUAGUGGAAUUCCCGGUGUAGUGGUGAAAUGCGUAGAUAUCGGGAGGAACACCAGUGGCGAAGGCGACUCGCUGGACAGACAUUGACGCUGAGGUGCGAAAGCGUGGGGAGCAAACAGG
rnacentral:rRNA from 1 species